GAGCGGCGGACGGGUGAGUAAUACUUAGGAAUCUACCUAGUAGUGGGGGAUAGCUCGGGGAAACUCGAAUUAAUACCGCAUACGACCUACGGGAGAAAGGGGGCAACUUGUUGCUCUCGCUAUUAGAUGAGCCUAAGUCGGAUUAGCUAGAUGGUGGGGUAAAGGCCUACCAUGGCGACGAUCUGUAGCUGGUCUGAGAGGAUGAUCAGCCACACCGGGACUGAGACACGGCCCGGACUCCUACGGGAGGCAGCAGUGGGGAAUAUUGGACAAUGGGGGCAACCCUGAUCCAGCCAUGCCGCGUGUGUGAAGAAGGCCUUUUGGUUGUAAAGCACUUUAAGCAGUGAAGAAGACUCUAUGGUUAAUACCCAUAGACGAUGACAUUAGCUGCAGAAUAAGCACCGGCUAACUCUGUGCCAGCAGCCGCGGUAAUACAGAGGGUGCAAGCGUUAAUCGGAAUUACUGGGCGUAAAGCGAGCGUAGGUGGCUUGAUAAGUCAGAUGUGAAAUCCCCGGGCUUAACCUGGGAACUGCAUCUGAUACUGUUAGGCUAGAGUAGGUGAAGAGGGAGGUAGAAUUUCAGGUGUAGCGGUGAAA
rnacentral:rRNA from 1 species